UCCGGCUUAUCACCGGCAGUCCCUCAUGAGUCCCCGGCAUUAUCCGCUGGCAACAUGAGGCGGGGGUUGCGCUCGUUGCGGGACUUAACCCAACACCUCACGGCACGAGCUGACGACAGCCAUGCACCACCUGUGAUGGUGUCCCGAAGGAAGACCGUGUUUCCACGGCUGUCACCAACAUGUCAAGCCCAGGUAAGGUUCUUCGCGUUGCGUCGAAUUGAACCACAUGCUCCGCUGCUUGUGCGGGUCCCCGUCAAUUCCUUUGAGUUUUAGCCUUGCGGCCGUACUCCCCAGGCGGGGCACUUAAUGCGUUAGCUACGGCACAGAGAGGGUUGACGCCUCCCCACACCUAGUACUCAACGUUUACGGCUGGGACUAC
rnacentral:misc_RNA from 1 species